UGUGAUGUUUGAGUUAUUUAUUCUUAGACCAUAAUCCUGUCACCUUAGGUCGAUCGGUACCUCAAUUUGAACGCCAAAUAAGUUGAUUAAUUCAGUUUUUAUUGGUUUUUGAAUUCAGUUCCUAAACUUGUCUAGGUCACACCCAACAAUGGCACUCCUGGGCCAUUAGCUCAGGUGGUUAGAGCGCACCCCUGAUAAGGGUGAGGUCCCUGGUUCAAGUCCAGGAUGGCCCAUUCGGUGUUGGGGGUAUAGCUCAGUUGGUAGAGCGCCUGCUUUGCAAGCAGGAUGUCAGCGGUUCGAGUCCGCUUACCUCCACUGAUCAAACUCCUAACAACGAAAUCGAAGGAGAUUGGCUUUGUUGAGUGUGAUUUAGAGAUGUUCUUUAACUGAAUGAACCUAGCUUCUUAUCAUUCCUGCUCUAAAAGAUUUAGAUGAGGUUGAUAUGACGCUGGGCUCACUGAAAUUUUAGUUAAUUUCAGCGAUUUUCAGCAGAACCUUGACAACUGCAUAAGUGAGUCUGGAAAAGAAUAAAGCAUCUCAUAGAUGCAUUAUUCUUUAGGAUUUUAGAUUUAUAUUAGAUGUUUGAUUACAUUUAAUAAAUUCUAAAUUUCAGAGAAUAAUGUUUUUUUCUUGAGUAAAAGCCGAGACUCUAUGAAU
rnacentral:tRNA from 1 species